UCAUUUAUUUCUUUAUCAUUUGGCACUCACAAGACACAUUUAGGGUAUUUUCAAUUUCGUUGUAUUUUUAGUUGAUGUAUUUCCUAUGAAAUCUGAACCAUACUCAUUUUUCAGAAAAAAGGAAAAAAAGUAGAAAUGUCCUUUCUUUAAAAAAUAAAAAAUAAAUUUUCUAGGGUAAUUUAAAGUUAGUGAUUGGUUGUCAUCAUCCAAUAUUGAUAGAAAUAUGUGGAAAGUGAAAAAAUGUAGUGUAGGGAUGCACAACUCUGCCUUUCAACAAUUUCCUAAAUUUUGUGCUCACAUAACACACGAGUUUGUCUUAUUUCAGUUUGAACUUUUUCAAAUUUUAAUUUAGUGAUUUACUUAUUUUAAUCACCUAAUUUAAUAUGGAAUUUGAGGAUUUGACUUUCCAGGAGGCAUAUGAAGUAGCCAAAACUCUUCUUAAGGACGGAGUGACUAGAGCAUCAGUCAUUGCUUGCUCUUAGUAUUCAAAAGGUAUAAAUAAACAACUACCAACUUUUAUAUUCUGUUUGAUUGGACAGUGGCCUUUUAGACCACAUUAUGGUUUAGUUGCUGAAAUGAAUCGAGAGAUGGGAUUUUAAUGGGAAUUAGAGGAAUUUGAAGACCCUUUUUGGAAUUGGAGUUAUGGGUUUGGUUGGUUUUCUCAUCAGGCCUAUAAGUGGUUUAUUUUGUUCUAAAAAUGUUGGGAAGGUUUUGGUUGCUGCAAUGGAUGAAAAAGAAAA